AGCUCCCAGAGCAGGAGUUUCCUGUUGUAGUUUCUCAUAACUGCACUCACUUCAGAGAGAUUCACACUAACAUUAGCUUUAGCGCACUGAGAGCUUAAACACACUACUGACUCCGUCUGAUCAUAUUUACAAUGAAGAGAAACCUCCUCAUCAUCCUCAUCAUCACAUCAGGUGUGUUUGGUGCUGAUCAAAUUGGAUCAUCAGAAGAUCAGGAGACUGAUGUUCUUAGAAAAGAGGGAGAACCUGUUACAGAAGGUGGAGCUGUGUGCUUAAUACAUGAAGAAACCUUCACAGAAGACAGACCUCAUUUCUGUUUUAACUGACAACACUGCUGCAGUUGGAAUACAGCCACUCUUCUUUGAAAAGCAUGUAUUGGAGGGAGAAGAUGUCACUCUAUCAUGUAACUAC